rnacentral:rRNA from 1 species
AUGCAGUCGACGAUGACUCCUUCGGGAGGGGAUUAGUGGCGAACGGGUGAGUAACACGUGGGCAAUCUGCCCUUCACUCUGGGACAAGCCCUGGAAACGGGGUCUAAUACCGGAUACGACGCGCGACCGCAUGGUCUGUGCGUGGAAAGCUCCGGCGGUGAAGGAUGAGCCCGCGGCCUAUCAGCUUGUUGGUGGGGUAAUGGCCUACCAAGGCGACGACGGGUAGCCGGCCUGAGAGGGCGACCGGCCACACUGGGACUGAGACACGGCCCAGACUCCUACGGGAGGCAGCAGUGGGGAAUAUUGCACAAUGGGCGAAAGCCUGAUGCAGCGACGCCGCGUGAGGGAUGACGGCCUUCGGGUUGUAAACCUCUUUCAGCAGGGAAGAAGCGAGAGUGACGGUACCUGCAGAAGAAGCGCCGGCUAACUACGUGCCAGCAGCCGCGGUAAUACGUAGGGCGCAAGCGUUGUCCGGAAUUAUUGGGCGUAAAGAGCUCGUAGGCGGCUUGUCACGUCGGAUGUGAAAGCCCGGGGCUUAACCCCGGGUCUGCAUUCGAUACGGGCAGGCUAGAGUUCGGUAGGGGAGAUCGGAAUUCCUGGUGUAGCGGUGAAAUGCGCAGAUAUCAGGAGGAACACCGGUGGCGAAGGCGGAUCUCUGGGCCGAUACUGACGCUGAGGAGCGAAAGCGUGGGGAGCGAACAGGAUUAGAUACCCUGGGUAGUCCACGCCGUAAACGUUGGGAACUAGGUGUGGGCGACAUUCCACGUCGUCCGUGCCGCAGCUAACGCAUUAAGUUCCCCGCCUGGGGG